rnacentral:rRNA from 1 species
AACGAACGCUGGCGGCAGGCUUAACACAUGCAAGUCGAGCGCAUCCUUCGGGGUGAGCGGCGGACGGGUGAGUAACGCGUGGGAACGUGCCCUCUUCUACGGAAUAGCCUCGGGAAACUGAGAGUAAUGCCGUAUACGCCCGCAAGGGGAAAGAUUUAUCGGAGGAGGAUCGGCCCGCGUUGGAUUAGGUAGUUGGUGGGGUAACGGCCUACCAAGCCGGCGAUCCAUAGCUGGUUUGAGAGGAUGAUCAGCCACACUGGGACUGAGACACGGCCCAGACUCCUACGGGAGGCAGCAGUGGGCAAUCUUGGACAAUGGGGGGAACCCUGAACCAGCCAUGCCGCGUAAUCGAUGAAGGCCUUAGGGUUGUAAAGAUCUUUAAGCUGGGAAGAUAAUGACGGUACCAGCAGAAGAAGCCCCGGCUAACUCCGUG